UUGGGUCUGUGGUGAGCCUGUGCCCUGUGCAUUCCUCGAGUUCCAGCCAGAACAGCUGUGACACUGUUUGAGGCCUUGUCUUGCCCUAUCCAGAGCAAGAUUAUAGAAAUUUUAGACAGUU
rnacentral:snoRNA from 1 species